GCGAAGUUGAAAUGUUUGUGAUGAUGCAAUCUCCCCGCGGAAAGACGGAAAGACCCCAUGAACCUUUACUGUAGCUUUGUAUUGGACUUUGAACAGAUCUGUGUAGGAUAGGUGGGAGGCUUUGAAGCAGGGUCGCUAGAUCUUGUGGAGCCAACGUUGAAAUACCACCCUGGUGUGUUUGAGGUUCUAACCUAGGUCCAUUAUCUGGAUCGGGGACAGUGCAUGGUAGGCAGUUUGACUGGGGCGGUCUCC
rnacentral:rRNA from 1 species